AUUUCAUAGUUAUAUACUGAUAAAUUCCUUAAAUAAUGGCUUUUAAUGAUUGACAUGUACUAAAACCCGUCAGUGUAAGCUGUCCUAGAGGAGUAAGAGUGAGUUUUAUUGGACUUCAGGGGUUAUAAAAUGAAGAAGUAAGAUGUUUAGCUCAUAAUCAUUGGGCAUUAAGAAAAAGUACUGAGCCCUAUUUGUGCUAAGAUAGUUUAAUAAAAGUUUUUUCAUUUAAUGGUGUAUUGUACUUGUGUUCACAUUUGAAGCCAAGCAAAGGGUGGCUUUUUUUCUGUUAAGUAUGUUUCCUUUGUUUACUAGAUAAUUUUAUAUUAGAAUAUUAAAUGUAAGAAAUUAAGUUU
rnacentral:lncRNA from 1 species